rnacentral:rRNA from 1 species
GCACGGGUGAGUAACACGUAUGCAACCAACCCAUAACAGGGGGAUAACCCGGAGAAAUCCGGACUAAUACCGCAUAAGACCACGAUAUCGCAUGAUAUAGAGGUCAAAUAUUUAUAGGCUAUGGACGGGCAUGCGUCUGAUUAGCUGGUUGGCGGGGUAACGGCCCACCAAGGCAUCGAUCAGUAGGGGUUCUGAGAGGAAGGUCCCCCACAUUGGAACUGAGACACGGUCCAAACUCCUACGGGAGGCAGCAGUGAGGAAUAUUGGUCAAUGGGCGAAAGCCUGAACCAGCCAUGUCGCGUGAAGGAUGAAGGUCCUAUGGAUUGUAAACUUCUUUUGCAGGAGGGUAAAGUGAGCUACGUGUAGUUCAUUGCAAGUACCCUGCGAAUAAGCAUCGGCUAACUCCGUGCCAGCAGCCGCGGUAAUACGGAGGAUGCGAGCGUUAUCCGGAUUUAUUGGGUUUAAAG